CCAGAUGACAGGUGCUGCAUGGCUGUCGUCAGCUCGUGUUGUGAAAUGUUCGGUUAAGUCCGUCAACGAGCGCAACCCUCAUCGUAUGUUAUAUUUCUCAUGCGAGACUGCCCUGGUUAACAGGGAGGAAGGUGGGGAUGACGUCUAGUCAGCAUGGCUCUUACGCCUCGGGCUACACACGCGUUACAAUGGCCGGUACAAUGGGUUGCCAACCAGCAAUGGGGAGCUAAUCCCACCAAAACCGGUCCCAGUUCGGAUUGAGGGCUGCAACUCGCCCUCAUGAAGUCGGAAUCGCUAGUAAACGUAAAUCAGCAUGUUACGUUGAAUUCGUUCCCGGGUCUU
rnacentral:rRNA from 1 species